UUGGUUUUCUUCUAUUGUUUCUGAUUCCAUAAUUUUGUCUAUUUCAUUUAGCAUAUAUCCUUAGCAAUUGAUAUUUUGAUGGAGAUUUUUAUCGGAGUUUCUUUGUCGACUUUUUAUACUUGUCGAAAUAUCUCUUUUUUCUUCAAGAGAGCAACGUAUACUUAUGAAUUUAGACUAUUUAUGCAGUAGUUUGCUAUAAAUUUUUCUGCUGAGUAUGUUUCAGCACAUAACACUUAGGGUGCGUUUGGUUCGCGCUAUCUUUUUAAGAUUUCUAGUAAUUCAAUAGGAAUAAAAAAAUAUAGUGGUGUUUAGCUAAACGUAUUAAGUAAUCUAAUUGGUAAUAUUAGAUUUACUUGGGAAUGAGAUUACCUCAAAGUACUAAUCUCAUUUUCUUGAGAGAUGAUGGGUAUCCUCAUAUUAAUGGAUCGGGAUAAUCAUAAUAAGUUUAAUAUCUUUCUUUCUCCCUACUCACUGGCUAGUUUGUAUUAUUUUUCUUUACACUCUAACCUUAUGUCUCUCUCUAAACUUAUCUUUUUCUCUCUAAACUUCAAUUAUUUUUCUCUCUCUAAACUAAGCUCUCUCUCCUUUUUUUUCUAAAAUCUCAACUCUUUCAUUCUCUCUAAUCUCGACUCUUUCUAUUUUCUUUAAUUAUGCUCUCUCUCUCUAACAUAUGUUCUUUCCUUUUUUUCUAAAAAGAGUUGAAAUUUAUGUUCUUUCCUUUUUUUCUAAAAAGAGUUGAAAUUUUUUAUAGCAUUAUCUAAAAUUAAUUAAAAAAAUUAAUUAAUUAAUCGUAUAUUUUUUUGUAAUUUUAAAUAACAUGACUAAAUAAUAUGACCGUACGAACCAAACACAGGAAUAUCAUAUUCUUAGUAAUAUCAUAUUCUUAGUAAUAUGAUGAAUAGGAAUAAGAUUCUCGGAUAUCUUUUUAUCCCUAGUAAUCUUUCAUAUUGCAAACCAAACGCGCCUUUAUACUUAUUAUGUAAGAUUUGAGUUUAAGAUA
rnacentral:lncRNA from 1 species